GCCGCGAUAGCUCAGCUGGUAGUGCAUCUGCCCGUCAAGCCGAACUUCGCCCGUAUCGAUUCCGGCUCGCGGCA
rnacentral:tRNA from 1 species